AUAGUAGCGAAGUCCGGAUACAUGCUGUCAAGAAAAGCCGCUAUUGCGCCAUAUGUACCCGUACCGUAAACCGACACAGGUGGAUGAGGAGAGAAUCCUAAGGCCGGCGGGAGAAGUGUUGUUAAGGAACUCGGCAAAAUGGCCCCGUAACUUCGGGAGAAGGGGCGCCCAGAAAUGGGCCGCAGAGAAAAGGCUCAAGCAACUGUUUAGCAAAAACACAGGUCUAUGCGAAACCGAAAGGUGAGGUAUAUGGGCUGACGCCUGCCCGGUGCUGGAAGGUUAAGGGGAGAGGUUAGCCGCAAGGCGAAGCUUUGAACUUAAGCCCCAGUAAACGGCGGCCGUAACUAUAACGGUCCUAAGGUAGCGAAAUUCCUUGUCGGGUAAGUUCCGACCCGCACGAAAGGCGUAAUGAUUUGAGCACUGUCUCGACAACACACCCGGUGAAAUUGAAAUACCAGUGAAGAUGCUGGUUACCUGCGCCAGGACGGAAAGACCCCAUGGAGCUUUACUCUAGUUUGAUACUGGGACCCGGUAUGACAUGUACAGGAUAGGUGGGAGGCUAAGAAUUGAUGACGCCAGUCAUUAAGGAGCCGCUGUUGGGAUACCACCCUUGUGAUGCCAGGUUUCUAACGAGCUGCCGUGAACCGGCAGGCGGACAAUGUCAGGCGGGGAGUUUGACUGGGGCGGUCGCCUCCGAAAGGGUAUCGGAGGCGCUCAAAGGUUCCCUCAGAAUGGUUGGAAACCAUUCGGAGAGUGCAAAGGCAGAAGGGAGCCUGACUGCGACACCGACGGGUGGAGCAGGUACGAAAGUAGGACUUAGUGAUCCGGUGGUAUAAAGUGGGAUUGCCAUCGCUCAACGGAUAAAAGCUACCCUGGGAUAACAGGCUUAUCACUCCCAAGAGUUCACAUCGACGGAGUGGUUUGGCACCUCGAUGUCGGCUCAUCGCAUCCUGGGGCUGGAGUAGGUCCCAAGGGUUGGGCUGUUCGCCCAUUAAAGCGGUACGCGAGCUGGGUUCAGAACGUCGUGAGACAGUUCGGUCCCUAUCCGGCGCGGGCGUAAGAGAUUUGAGAGGAGCUGUCCUUAGUACGAGAGGACCGGGAUGGACGGACCACUGGUGUAUCUGUUGCACCACCAGGUGCACGGCAGAGUAGCCAAGUCCGGACGGGAUAAACGCUGAAGGCAUCUAAGCGUGAAGCCCCCCUCAAGAUGAGAUCUCUCAUUCGAAAGAAGUAAGACCCCUUGAAGACGACGAGGUAGAUAGGGCAGGGGUGGAAGGGCAGUGAUGUCCGGGGCUGACUGUUACUAAUCGGUCGAGGGCUUGACCU
rnacentral:rRNA from 1 species